rnacentral:rRNA from 1 species
GAUGAACGCUGGCGGCGUGCCUAAUACAUGCAAGUCGAGCGAACAGACGAGGAGCUUGCUCCUCUGACGUUAGCGGCGGACGGGUGAGUAACACGUGGAUAACCUACCUAUAAGACUGGGAUAACUUCGGGAAACCGGAGCUAAUACCGGAUAAUAUAUUGAACCGCAUGGUUCAAUAGUGAAAGACGGUUUUGCUGUCACUUAUAGAUGGAUCCGCGCCGCAGUAGCUAGUUGGUAAGGUAACGGCUUACCAAGGCGACGAUGCGUAGCCGACCUGAGAGGGUGAUCGGCCACACUGGAACUGAGACACGGUCCAGACUCCUACGGGAGGCAGCAGUAGGGAAUCUUCCGCAAUGGGCGAAAGCCUGACGGAGCAAAGCCGCGUGAGUGAUGAAGGUCUUCGGAUCGUAAAACUCUGUUAUUAGGGAAGAACAAAUGUGUAAGUAACUAUGCACGUCUUGACGGUACCUAAUCAGAAAGCCACGGCUAACUACGUG